AUUGAACGCUGGCGGCAUGCUUUACACAUGCAAGUCGAACGGCAGCGGGGGCUUCGGCCUGCCGGCGAGUGGCGAACGGGUGAGUAAUGCAUCGGAACGUGCCCAGUCAUGGGGGAUAACUACGCGAAAGCGUAGCUAAUACCGCAUACGCCCUGAGGGGGAAAGUGGGGGAUCUUCGGACCUCACGUGAUUGGAGCGGCCGAUGUCAGAUUAGCUAGUUGGUGAGGUAAAGGCUCACCAAGGCGACGAUCUGUAGCGGGUCUGAGAGGAUGAUCCGCCACACUGGGACUGAGACACGGCCCAGACUCCUACGGGAGGCAGCAGUGGGGAAUUUUGGACAAUGGGCGCAAGCCUGAUCCAGCCAUGCCGCGUGAGUG
rnacentral:rRNA from 1 species